GUUAAUAUUUCGUCAUGCGGGUUACGUUGAAACUAAAUAUUACGAGUAUGACUAAAUAAAAAGCCGAAAUAAUGUAAAAAAAAAUAUAAAAAAUAAUGAAGGUACCGUGGAUUGGCAACACUUCCGAUGUAAACAGACAGCUGAUCACGGGUCCUGAGGCAGGCAAGGAGAUAAAAAUAAUAAUAAACGAAGGAAAUAGAGCAAAUAGGACGACAGCAGGCAGAGAGGGGCAGGAGAAGUAGCAGAAUCAGGGAAAGGCGUAUUGGUGCCAGUAAAUAAGGUGGACUUGGAAUCUCUCAGGGGAAACUACAUGUAGUAAUUGAAUUAAAAUGGCUAGAACCAGAGGAUGGGGUUGUGCGUCCCCGGGAGUUCAGAGGGUGCCGGCGCUUCAACUGAUGGUGUGGACCCAUGAGACAGAGGCUCCACCAGGGUAACAGGGACGUGAGGGGUCUCCAGCAGCAUGCCUGAAGAUACUUGUGUGUGGACGAGGGACACACACUCAAGAACCACAAGUCCCUGAACACCUUUCCCCCCAUGAACUGGCUGCUGUUUACUGGGACACCCUUGCAGAACAGCCUGGCGGAGCUCUGGGCCCUUCUGAACUUCCUAAUGCUGGAUAAUUUUGAGUCCUUGUCCAAUGUGAGUGAGAUGCAGGAGGGAAGUGAGGAGAGGACUCUGAGGCAGGAAUGGGAGGGCCAGGCCAUCUCCACUCUAAUGAAGAUAAGAGAGAGGGAAUGUGGGUGUGUUUGGGAGUGUUUUGGUGGCUUUGGGUAGGUUUGGGUGUGUUUGGGGAGUUUUUUAUGAUUAUUUAAAGAGAAGGUUUUUUUGGGCUGGAGGGAAUUUUUGGGGCUGGAGAGGAGUUUUUUGGACUGGAGAGGAGUUUUUUGGGCUGGAGAGAAUUUUUUUGGGUCUGGAGAGGAGUUUUUGGGCUGGAGAGAAAUGUUUUGGGCUGGAGAGAAGGUUAUGUUUUGGGCUGGAGAGAAGGUUUUGUGGGCUGGAGGGAAGUUUUUUGGGCUGGAGGGAAGUUUUUUGGGCUGGAGAGGAGUUUUUUGGGCUGGAGAGGAUCGUUUCAGGUCAGGUGGUUAAACACUACCGUCUAUCUAGUGGCUAUUGUAGGCUGUAUCUCUCUCUCUCUCUCUCUCUCUCUCUCUCUCUCUCUCUCUCUCUCUCUCUCUCUCUCUCUCUCUCUCUCUCUCUCUCUCUCGGCGAGAUAGCAAGGUACACACACCACCACCCCUCACACACACACACACACACACACACACACACACACACACACACACACACACACACACACACACACACACACACACACAGCCCCCUCCCCCUCUCCCCCUUUAUCGUAACGUAUAAACAGGACUAAACGUGUUACCAAUGCCAGCAAUGUAAACAAAACCACGUGACUUUGAAAUGUAAACAAAAAAGUCACGUGACCAGAUAAUGUAAACAAAACCACAUGACUGAAAUGUAAACAAAAAAGUCACGUGACCAGAUAAUGUAAACAAAACCACGUGACUUUCAAAUGUAAACAAAAAAGUCACGUGACCAGAUAAUGUAAACAAAACCACGUGACUUUGAAAUGUAAACACAAGGUCACGUGACUUGCAAAUGUAAACAAAACGAAAAAAAAACAAACAACCGCCAUCUUGAAAGCAACGUAAACAAACAAACAAACAAACACGUGGAUAUAUUAACAGUUUGCACUUAAAACAAACAAACAAACAAACAAAUACUUGGUACACACGCUUAGUCCCAUAAUUAGAAGGUAAAACACACACACACACACACACACACACACACACACACACACACACACACACACACACACACACACACAGUCUAGGUGAGUUAAUCUUUAUAAUAAAAAAAAAAAUUCUUAAGAUUAGUUAGUUAAAUAAGAAAAAUAUAAAAAGUUAGAUAAUUCAAACAUACACACAUUAUCAUUAUUAUUAUUAUUAUUAUUAUUAUUAUUAUUAUUAUUAUUAUUAUUAUUGUUAUUCGACUUAGCUCCUUGCAGAUAUUCAAAAUGGUGUCUUUUUUUAUUUAUUUUAUUUUUUCUAUAUAUAAUACUUAAAUAGGUAAGAUUCAUCGCUAAUAUUACAAUGUGUGUAUGUUUGUGUGUACAUAUGUGUGUGUGUGUGCGUGUGUACGUGUGUGUGUGUGUGUGUGUGUGUGUGUGUGUGUGUGUGUGUGUGUGUGUGUGUGUGUGUGUGUGUCAUUAUCAACCUCAGAACCUCCGGGUAUUGUGUGUGUGUGUGUGUGUGUGUGUGUGUGUGUGUGUGUGUGUGCGUGCGUGCGUGCGUAGGUUUAUAGCGAGUCUAAGGUACUCCUAAACGGGUCUUAUUUAACCUCCUCCUCCUCCUCCUCCUCCUCCUCCUCCUCCUCCUCCUCCUCCUCCUCCUCCUCCUCCUCCUCCUCUUCUUUUUUAUUUUUCAAUGUUAUUUUUCUUAAUUUUUUUGUGAUUUUUUCUUCGUUCUCCUCCUCCUCCUCCUCCCUCGUC